rnacentral:lncRNA from 1 species
CUUACACUCUUGAUAAUUUAUCUGACAUCUCUCUAACAUACAUUUUUCUCUACAGGAAGUAUGGAAGUCUGAUCUGCUCCUCACAUCUGGGAAAAUAGUGAAGUUUUUUUUUCUCCUAUCAAACAGGCAGUUCAAAGGUAUUUUUUCUUCAACCCCGCCAGUGAGCUACAACACCCCAACUUGGAGAUCACAUAAUCCCCAGUAGGUAAGGUCUAUAGCCCCUCCAACCAGAAGAAGCUAUAGAAGACAGAGACCUCUACGUGCAGUCCUCCAUAAAGAAUUAUGAGGCUAUGUGUCUCUUAGGGGAAAAUGAGACAGGAGAUUAAGGUGUGGUAAAGAUGGCUGGGGAAGCAGGUGUGAACUGUUAAUUACAAAAUCCCAGGACACAUGCACAGAACAGUUCCCAAAGCCCUGCACAUGGAUUUCUUGUGAGAAUUAGAGCAGGUUUUUGAUAAGAUACCAUAUAUCUGACAUCAGCCUGAGGAGUGGAUGAUAUAAAAAAAGACAUUCUACAUUGAUUCUGUGCCACUGUGUUCUCUCUGACAUGGUGGCUCACCCUCAUGCCCUAGGUUGCACUUCUUUUUCUCUUUUUACUUGACCCAAACUUGUUCUGCAGAGCCUGUU